UGGGGAAUAUUGCGCAAUGGACGAAAGUCUGACGCAGCGACGCCGCGUGUGGGAGGAAGCUCUUCGGGGUGUAAACCACAGUCAGAGGGGAAGAACGGCGUCUGGUCGAACAGGCCAGGCGAUUGACGGUACCCUCAAAGGAAGCGCCGGCUAACUACGUGCCAGCAGCCGCGGUAAAACGUAGGAGGCGAACGUUAUCCGGAUUUACUGGGCGUAAAGCGCGUGCAGGUGGUCUGUUAAGUCGUGCGUGAAAGCUCCCUGGCUCAACCGGGAGAGGUCGUGCGAUACUGACAGACUGGAGACAGAGAGAGGCAAGUGGAAUUCCGGGUGUAGUGGUGAAAUGCGUAGAUAUCCGGAGGAACACCAGUGGCGAAGGCGGCUUGCUGGCUCUGUUCUGACACUCAGACGCGAAAGCAUGGGGAGCGA
rnacentral:rRNA from 1 species